rnacentral:rRNA from 1 species
AUGCCUGGAUCUUUGAAUGACAUCAAUGUUGUCAACCGGUCACCACUGAUGAAUAAGAUUGCAAAUGGUGAGUUGCCACUGGUGCAGUUUGUAGCAAAUUGCCGUAUAUACAACUAUGGCCAUUAUCUAGCGGAUGGCAUCUAUCCAAAGUGGCAAACCUUCAUGAAGCCGUUGAAAAAACCGGAAGGUAAGAAAAAUCUUGAUUUCCACAAUGCUCAGGCGGCGGCUAGAAAAGAUGUGGAGAGAGCUUUUGGGAUUUUGCAAGCCCAAUUUGCUAUUGUGAGAGGACCGGCUAGAUUUUGA